AUGAAAUCUUUGCUUGUCCUCAUGCUGUCACUGGCCGCUGACCUGUGUGCAGCACAGCUGGUCCAGGCUGGCCCAGGAGUUGUGAAAUCCUCCAACUCCUUCACUCUGGCCUGUGCUGUCUCCAGGUUCUCCAUCAUUAUCAUAGGCUGGCACUGGGUCCGGCAGCCUCCUGGCAAAGGCUUGGAGUGGCUCUGGUAUAUAGCCACUACCAGGGGCACAGGCUACACCCUGUCUCUCCAGAGCCACCUGAGCUUCUCCAGAGACACAGCUAGAAACACGCUUUCCCUGCAGCUGGGCUCGCUGACAGCUGCGGACACCGCCACCUAUUACUGCGCCA